GUCCACGCCCUAAACUAUGUCAACUGGUUGUCGGGGGAUUGAUUCCCUUGGUAACGAAGCUAACGCGUGAAGUUGACCGCCUGGGGAGUACGGUCGCAAGAUUAAAACUCAAAGGAAUUGACGGGGACCCGCACAAGCGGUGGAUUAUGUGGAUUAAUUCGAUGCAACGCGAAAAAACCUUACCUACCCUUGACUUGUACGGAAUCUCCCAGAGAUGGGAGAGUGCCCGAAAGGGAACCGUAACACAGGUGCUGCAUGGCUGUCGU
rnacentral:rRNA from 1 species